UUAAAUGUUGUAUUUACAGUUUUCCUUUUAAAAAAAUAUUCUAUAGUAAUUCCAGUAAAUUGAACAACAAAUUGAGGAUGUUAAGAGCAGAUACGAAUAAGGAAAUGAGAUAUGAAUGAAUAAUUACUCAUUCAUUUAAAUAUGUGUUGGUUGGAUAUUAACAUUUUAUUAUUCUCAAAAUAUGAAUUUUGCCUCUUAAGAUUUAAUUUAAGAAGAAUUUUUGUGUUGACAAUUCUUUUAUACAUUAAAAAAACUAUAAAUUCAAAAAUUAAUGACCAUUGACAUUAACAAUGUUUCCUCAAUCGAUAAUGAUGAUUUGAAAUUUACAUAAAUACCUGCUACUAAUUUUGUUAAAAGUCUCAGUGUUUUCUUUUGAUAUAAAUGACAACUAAAUUAGUUCACGUCUUUGUCGAUUUCGUAAACCAAAUAAUGAUAAGCGGUUAAGUUCGUCUUUAACAUUUUAUGUUGAUUAAGUAACGUCCGUUGUCAACCAAUAAAUUAGGUAGGUAUUUCAUUUACACCGACAAACUCUUUCCAAAAUUCUAUUUAAAAUUUCUGAUGUCAUGCAGUGUUGUAGGCGCCUCUCACAAGGCCACAUAAUUUAGCAUUGUUGAACCAAUAUACCAAUUAAAGCGAAAAUCUGGGAUCGAUCUAUGUCAACAAAUGUUAAAGCAGCUAGAAAAACAUCAAGUCUAGACAAGAAACUGUUUUAGGUUAGUUUACGAACUGGAUGUAUCAUGUAGGACGUGAAUCACUACAAAAUUAGGUUACUGUAAGCUCCCGAUCGAUAUAUUUUUACGAAAUCCUGUAAGCUCUGCCACAAGAUGGCGGGAAUACAACCCAACUAAAUUUAGAGGUAUACGGAACCAGUGGGUUGCAUCGUUAAUUAGGCGACCUACAUUUAGCCGGGUUAUACAUCUGAUCGCCCAGAUGUAAGAUUUUCCCAUUUCUUUUUCAUUUCCUGUCCCAUUGGAGCCAUCGCGUCUACUCUUAACGGCUUGUUGUGUUAUUAUUGAGCUCUACUCACCGUUUCUAGUUUGUAUUUAGCACUUGAUUUACCACAAAACACGAAAAAUUUCACUCAAGCACUUAUACGCCCCUACAGUGUGUAACAACAUCACGAGUACUACUGCGCCAUCUGCUGGACUUUUUAGACAGCAGUCAGUGAAUACCUGCGGCCACCUUCACUGCAGUGGCAAUUCAAUUUCCACCAAUUUACUCGAUUAAAAUGCUAUUUUAACACCAAAUCUUAUGGCUAUACUCUUACGAAGUUGAAAUAACUUUAAAAUUGGUGUAACGUAACGUUGUAUGUCAGAGAGACUUGGUUAAGAAGUAACACUAAAUGCCUGUUAUUGAUUUUUUCACGUCUCGUCACAGCUGAUUCAUCGGACGCACCGCAUCGUCAGAGUCUGACUCAUGAAUCAUUAAUAUUUCCGUGAUUUCAUUGAAUUAUUUAAUAAAAUUUAAUUUUGUAACGAGAUGUAUGUUUGCAAAUGAUGCUAAAUGUGGUUUUGGAUUAUGACCCAAAGCAACUUGUUAUGACUUCCGAAGGUUGCAUUAAAUUACUGUAAAUUUUGAAUAGUUGUGUGAAUUUCAAACGGGAUAAAAUUAGUGAUUAGUUAAUAUUCACAAAAUUUUAAAAAUUAAUGUCAAUAAUUAUUUGUUUUGCUUAAUAUUUCUUUCACCUUUGGCAGUUUUUUUUCUUAGAGACAUCUAUUGACGAAUUGUAAACACUAUUUUACAAUAUAUUAAAUGUAUUCCCUUUCCUA